CCUACGGGCGGCAGCAGUGGGGAAUAUUGCACAAUGGGGGAAACCCUGAUGCAGCGACGCCGCGUGAGCGAUGAAGUAUUUCGGUAUGUAAAGCUCUAUCAGCAGGGAAGAAAAUGACGGUACCUGACUAAGAAGCCCCGGCUAACUACGUGUCAGCAGCCGCCGUAAUACGUAGGGGGCAAGCGGUAGCCGGAUUUACUGGGUGGAAAGGGGGCGUAGACGGCGGUGCAAGCCAGAUGUGAAAGCGCGGGGCUCAACCCCGGGACUGCAGUUGGAACUGUGCUGCUAGAGUGUCGGAGAGGCAGGCGGAAUGCGUAGUGUAGCGGUGAAAUGCGUAGAUAUUAGGAGGAACACCAGUGGCGAAGGCGGCCUGCUGGACGAUAACUGACGUUGAGGCUCGAAAGCGUGGGGAGCAAACAGGAUUAGAUACCCGAGUAGUC
rnacentral:rRNA from 1 species